CCGGAGCGCGACGCUCUCCCCAAGGACGAAGCCAUGCAUGCCCGCUCACCCGGGACGCGGCGGACGGCUCAGGACAACGGUUGCACCCCCCGCGGCGGUCCCUGCUAGCCGGACACCGCUGGCAACCCGGCGCCAAGACGUGCGCGCAAGGGCGGGCGCCCGCGGGCGAGCAGCGUGACGCAGCGACGGCCCGCCCGGGCUUCCGGGGCAUCACCCGGUCGGCGCGGUCGCGGCGCGCCGAGGGCCCGACGCCUGGCGGAG
rnacentral:rRNA from 1 species